rnacentral:lncRNA from 1 species
AAAUGAGUACUUUUAUAUUUAAGGGAGUUUUUAAGACAAGACGGGGGGAACUUUUUGGCAAGAGAAAAAUUACAGGAUUCAGAAUUGGAGAAAAUAAGGUUUUGGGGGAGAAGAGAUUUUCAUGAGCGGAAGCAAUUGAAGAUAAAAUUUCAUUUGAAUACUUGUAAUGUCUACGUUUUAUCUUUUGAUUUCCUUGAAUACUAUGAGUAGUUAAAC